AGAACAAAGAAAGAAGAAGAAGAAGAAAAAAGGAGGAGAGGUCAGCCAAAUGGUUUCUGCGCAUACCGAUUGAAGCAAGGUGACAUUCUUCUGAACACAGGCGAGGGAUCAACUUCAACGAUGUCAACUGGAACAACGUUAACGGAACCUACCCCAAACUGCAAGCAACAGAAGGCACAAGGUCUUCACGGCGGUGGCACGAUAUGGUUCCCAGGGGAAGAGCCUAUGGUAUUUAUGGAGUGGCUUCGGCGUGCGCGUUUCAGGGGAGGUUUCUCGAUUCAGAAACGAAAGAAGACAGAUACCGUGGCAAUUCGUAUCAGAUAACGGUGGCGAUUGACACUUUG